AGCAGUGAGGAAUAUUGGUCAAUGGACGCAAGUCUGAACCAGCCAUGUCGCGUGCAGGAUGACGGCCCUAUGGGUUGUAAACUGCUUUUUUACGGGAAUAAACUUAGCUACGUGUAGUUAACUGAAGGUACCGUAUGAAUAAGGAUCGGCUAACUCCGUGCCAGCAGCCGCGGUAAUACGGAGGAUUCGAGCGUUAUCCGGAUUUAUUGGGUUUAAAGGGUCCGUAGGCGGGCUUGUAAGUCAGUGGUGAAAUCUCACAGCUCAACUGUGAAACUGCCAUUGAUACUGCUAGUCUUGAAUAUAGUUGAGGUAGGCGGAAUACGUUAUGUAGCGGUGAAAUGCAUAGAUAUAACGUAGAACACCGAUUGCGAAGGCAGCUUACUAAGCUAUUAUUGACGCUGAUGGACGAAAGCGUGGGGAGCGAACAGGAUUAGAUACCCUGGUAGUCCACGCCGUAAACGAUGAUUACUCGUUGUGCGCGAUACACAGUGCGCGACUGAGCGAAAGCAUUAAGUAAUCCACCUGGNNANNNCGUUGGCAACAAUGAAACUCAAAGGAAUUGACGG
rnacentral:rRNA from 1 species